AGUGUGCACAUGUGGCUGAAGCUAGCCCACUCGUGCUCUGUGGAGCUGCUCACGUUGAGUCCGAAUGGAGUCUGAGGGAUUUGUAAACUCAGUAAGUACACCCCGUCUCAGGCUGUACCAGCCUGAUUUUCUACUAUUCAGAGGUUUCCUGAACACCGGCGGAAGGAGCAGUGCCCACCUCAGACAAGCCCCAGAUCAAAGUCGGAGCCUGAGGAAGUCUUCACUUCCUUCUGAAGCCUGUUCCAGUCCUAAAGGCCCCAGACUUGGAGCUCCGCGGAGUCCUACAUCAUUCUGCUCUCAGUCUGAACUGCUUUGAACUUGAUUUGUCAUUUGUCACUAAAAAGGUUCUAAAAGAUCCCCAUCCUGGAAGUCUUUCAGUGGCUGCCAUGGUGGAGUCAGCAUCUUAGCCUCUCAAUGUAGCUCCAAGCCCCGCGUUUCCUCAGUGGAAACAGAGCUCCUGCCCUUGAUCUUCAAAGGUGCAGGUUCCUGCUGGGCUCUUCCCGCCCCUUGCUCCCUCUGGAUGCCGCUGCAGCUGGGCAGCUGCACUAUUCCGUGUGAGUCAGGCAAUCAGCUGCCUCUGUUUUCAUCGCUUCAUCGUCAGCCUGGGAGCCUCUAGUUAAAGCAGUUUUGCAACCCAGAAUGUCUCUGAUUAAUAAUAUUCACAGAGCCUUCAAACUCACCUGGAGGCUUGUGAACUCAGUGUCUGUGAACAUACGGUGCUGUAGUAAAGGUGGAGUUAAAAAAAAAAUCGUCAGAAGGCAGUGGCUGGAGACGGUUCAGUAGGUUUCAAAAGGAAUACUUACUCCUUUUGCAGAGGACUAGACUUAGUUCCUGACACCCACAACAGGCAGUUCACAGCUCCAUCUCCGUGGGAUAUGAUGCCCUCUGCUGGCCGCCAUGGCCAACUGCACGUAUGCAAGCCCACAUAUGCGCGCGGCACACACAGACACACAAUUUAAAAACUAAAAAAAAAAAAAAAGAAGAAGAAGGAGAAG
rnacentral:lncRNA from 1 species